AUUGAACGCUGGCGGCAUGCUUUACACAUGCAAGUCGAACGGCAGCGCGGGCUUCGGCCUGGCGGCGAGUGGCGAACGGGUGAGUAAUACAUCGGAACGUGCCCAGUAGUGGGGGAUAGCUCGGCGAAAGCCGGAUUAAUACCGCAUACGACCUGAGGGUGAAAGCGGGGGAUCUUCGGACCUCGCGCUAUUGGAGCGGCCGAUGGCAGAUUAGCUAGUUGGUGGGGUAAAGGCCUACCAAGGCGACGAUCUGUAGCUGGUCUGAGAGGACGACCAGCCACACUGGGACUGAGACACGGCCCAGACUCCUACGGGAGGCAGCAGUGGGGAAUGUUGGACAAUGGGCGAAAGCCUGAUCCAGCAAUGCCGCGUGUGUGAUGAAGGCCUUCGGGUUGUAAAGCACUUUUGGCGGGAACGAAAAGGACUGUGCCAAUACCACGGUUGGAUGACGGUACCCGCAGAAUAAGCACCGGCUAACUACGUG
rnacentral:rRNA from 1 species